UAAUCUGUUUGAGAUAAAUUCUCAUUUAGUUGUGGUAUAUUUAUAUAUAACUAUUCAAAAUUACCCAUUAUUAUAUGAAUAAUAACUUUUUAAGAUUUUAAUUGAGGUC
rnacentral:pre_miRNA from 1 species